rnacentral:lncRNA from 1 species
CAGCAGGAGCAGGAAGAGCCCUCAGCCGUUUGGCGGGCGGGAGCCCUCCAGGCUCUACUGUAGGGCACUUUUAAAGCACUGCACAUGGGGCUCCCUCCCCAGAGAGGGCAUCCUGGCCUCGCACUGGGUGGCACUUCUUGGCUCAGGGCAGGCUCAGGCUUCCACCCCCAGUGCCACCUUAGUGGCAGCCACUCAGGCUCAGAGCUGCCCUGCAUCUGCGUGGUCGCAGCACCCAGCGGCCCUGCUGUGAGGACCGCGCUGCCAGCAUUUCCACUCCGCUGUGUGGUCUUGAGCUUGCUGGUCUGGUCCUCGGUGGGACAGUAAGGAGGGUGCAUGAGGGGACUUCUAAGUCCCUGGGAGCCUUCAUAGUCUGUGAUUAUCUGCCCUUAUACUAUACUGGCCAGAUCUUUGUGACAAGGAGUUUGGAGGAGUUUUUAUUUUACAAUCAAAGGCUGAGGAUUCCUCCCCGAACCGUGUGUUUGUGGGCAAAGCUCUUCUCUUGGCGUCAGUGGCAGGACCCGCAGGAGCCACAUGGUAGAGGUGGAAGAGGAAAGGCAGACCUUGCCGGGGUGUCUGCGAAAGCGAAGGGGAUAUACGUAAUAUGCAGCAACAUCAAAACCACGCGCUGACCAGAGGGGCGAUGCACCCGUGCCUGCAGGUGGUGCAACAGCCCGAAAUUCCCUGCCGACUUUGGUGGAGACGGUACACUCUCCUCCCCGCCUUGGUAAACAGUGCGCCUGUCACAAAGGCCUCCUACUGACAUUCCUCACUGACCCUAAGCUCCACCUCGGACUAGUUGAAGGUCCCGCAGGCUGAGCCAGCUCAUCUGUGUUGGGGCCCAUCUUCCGGUGUUCAGAAAGCCGGUAUGUUCCCAGGUCAUAGCGUUCUUUGAGCUCUAUCUCAGGUUAAAAGCCAAAGAAAGGAGACGCGUCACUAACAGCGAUGCUGAGCUCUGGAGUGGCCCCCCAGGCGAGUGUCAUGGGCUCGGCUGGACUUCCUUCUUAGCCCCUCCUGCGCAGUGCAGUCCUGGAGUCACAGAAAGUCCUCUGGCAGCUGGUGAAUUGAAUUCAACAUCCAGAGAGUCUGGAAAUGGGUGGGAACCCCAGCAGAAUGGAGUGGGAAAGUUAGCAGCUUGAGAUGAAGCCUUCUGAUUCGCGCUCCUCCGUCCGUCCUUAAUCCGUGUGUUGGCGGAUUGCCGGGUGGAGCUGAUUAUAAUCUAGGAAGGGAUGGUCUCCUGUGAAUUCAGAGCAGGGAGCCUGCAGACACAGGGUCCAGAGGCCUUUCGCCCAAACAGUGAUGAGGCCGGUGGAAAAGCAGGCCUCAG